AUUGAACGCUGGCGGCGUGCCUAACACAUGCAAGUCGAGCGGUAACAGGUGUAGCGAUACAUGCUGACGAGCGGCGGACGGGUGAGUAACGCUUGGGAAUCUGCCUGUUAGUGGGGGACAACCCGGGGAAACUCGGGCUAAUACCGCAUACGCACUACGGUGGAAAGCCGGGGACCGCAAGGCCUGGCGCUAACAGAUGAGCCCAAGUCGGAUUAGCUAGUUGGUAGGGUAACGGCCACCAAGGCGACGAUCCGUAACUGGUCUGAGAGGACGACCAGUCACACCGGAACUGAGACACGGUCCGGACUCCUACGGGAGGCAGCAGUGGGGAAUAUUGGACAAUGGGCGAAAGCCUGAUCCAGCGACGCCGCGUGGGUGAAGAAGGCCUGCGGGUUGU
rnacentral:rRNA from 1 species